rnacentral:rRNA from 1 species
UACUAAGCGUACGACAAGUAGGGCGGGACACGUGACAUCCUGUCUGAAUAUGGGGGGACCAUCCUCCAAGGCUAAAUACUCGUAAUCGACCGAUAGUGAACCAGUACCGUGAGGGAAAGGCGAAAAGAACCCCGGAAGGGGAGUGAAAUAGAUCCUGAAACCGUGUGCAUACAAACAGUAGGAGCGGACUUGUUCCGUGACUGCGUACCUUUUGUAUAAUGGGUCAGCGACUUACAUUCAGUGGCAAGGUUAACCAUAUAGGGAAGCCGUAGAGAAAUCGAGUCCGAAUAGGGCGAUCAGUCGCUGGGUGUAGACCCGAAACCAAGUGAUCUACUCAUGGCCAGGAUGAAGGUGCGGUAACACGCCCUGGAGGUCCGAACCCACUAAUGUUGAAAAAUUAGGGGAUGAGCUGUGGGUAGGGGUGAAAGGCUAAACAAACUUGGAAAUAGCUGGUUCUCUCCGAAAACUAUUUAGGUAGUGCCUCAAGUAUCACCAUCGGGGGUAGAGCACUGUUAUGGCUAGGGGGUCAUUGCGACUUACCAAACCAUUGCAAACUCCGAAUACCGAUGAGUGCGAGCUUGGGAGACAGACGUCGGGUGCUAACGUCCGGCGUCAAGAGGGAAACAACCCAGACCGCCAGCUAAGGUCCCAAAGAUUGGCUAAGUGGAAAACGAAGUGGGAAGGCUAAAACAGUCAGGAUGUUGGCUUAGAAGCAGCCAUCAUUUAAAGAAAGCGUAAUAGCUCACUGAUCGAGUCGUCCUGCGCGGAAGAUGUAACGGGGCUAAGCCAGUCACCGAAGCUGCGGAUAU